UACGUAGGGUCCGAGCGUUGUCCGGAAUUACUGGGCGUAAAGAGCUCGUAGGUGGUUUGUCGCGUUGUUCGUGAAAACUCACAGCUCAACUGUGGGCGUGCGGGCGAUACGGGCAGACUUGAGUACUGCAGGGGAGACUGGAAUUCCUGGUGUAGCGGUGGAAUGCGCAGAUAUCAGGAGGAACACCAGUGGCGAAGGCGGUGCUCUGGGCCGGAACUGACGCUGAGGAGCGAAAGCGUGGGGAGCGAACAGG
rnacentral:rRNA from 1 species